rnacentral:rRNA from 1 species
UACGUAGGGUGCAAGCGUUAAUCGGAAUUACUGGGCGUAAAGCGUGCGCAGGCGGCUUUGCAAGACAGAUGUGAAAUCCCCGGGCUUAACCUGGGAACUGCGUUUGAAACUGAAAGGCUAGAGUGUGGCAGAGGGGGGUGGAAUUCCACGUGUAGCAGUGAAAUGCGUAGAGAUGUGGAGGAACACCGAUGGCGAAGGCAGCCCCCUGGGCUAACACUGACGCUCAUGCACGAAAGCGUGGGGAGCAAACAGG